GUUUACAGCCAUAUUGAAACACCGGUUCACGUACGAUCACUGAAGUUAAGCAACGCCGAGCCUGGUCAGUAUUGUUAGAUGAGUGACCGCUCGGAAAUACCAGGUGCU